ensembl:lncRNA
GUGGGGGUUAAGUCCAGUGUGUGGAUAGAGUCCAGUGUGUGGAUAGAGUCCAGUGUGUUGGGUAGAGUCAAGUGUGUUGGGUAGAGUCCAGUGUGUGGGUAGAGUCCAGUGUGUGGGUAGAAUCCAGUGUGUUGAUAGAGUCCAGUGCGUGGAUAGAGUCCAGUGUGUGGAUAGAGUCCAGUGUGUGGAUAGAGUCCAGUGUGUGGGUAGAGUCCAGUGUGUGGGUAGAGUCCAGUGUGUGGGUAGAGUCCAGUGUGUGGGUAGAGUCCAGUGUGUGGGUAGAGUCCAGUGUGUGGAUAGAGUCCAGUGUGUGGAUAGAGUCCCAUGUGUGGAUAGAGUCCCGUGUGUGGGUAGAGUCCAGUGUGUGGGUAGAGUCCAGUGUGUGGAUAGAGUCCAGUGUGUGGGUAGAGUCCAGUGUGUGGAUAGAGUCCAGUGUGUGGAUAGAGUCCAGUGUGUGGGUAGAGUCCAGUGUGUGGAUAGAGUCCAGUGUGUGGGUAGAGUCCAGUGUGUGGG